GGCCAGAGCUUGCGUGUUAUCCACGGCUGCACGGCCGUGGGGCUCUGUGACUGUCCCUGAGCCCUGUCCUCCUCGAUAAAGAGCUUUGGUUUCCCUCUCCUCUGCUUCCCUGAGGGGCUCUUGCCCUCCUGCUCCAGUUCCUUAAUCUUGCAAUGGGGACUGCUGCUGUUCUUGCUUCAUGGAGGAAAGAUAAUCCCCUGCCUAGGUGCUGAAUGGCUUCAGAAUUCAUAACGCCAAGUAAAUAAUUCUCAGGAAAAAUUUGAAUAAUACAAAGUGUCUUUCCAGGGACAAAGAUCUGUGCAUAACAGCAUUAUAAUCCUUUUGCACUGAAUUCUUCCAGUAUUGUGGCAGGAAACAAUUGAGCCUGUGUCCAUACAGAGUCCAAAAUGGAAACCUUCGGGUAUUCUACUUGUGGAAGUACGAUAGAAUUUGCAUUUUUUCCACUUUACUCUGGGAAACUCUGAACGGAGAUGUUUAACAGGAGGAAAACAGUAAGCAU